GACAGAGGGGGCAAGCGUUGCUCGGAAUUACUGGGCGUAAAGGGUGCGUAGGCGGUUGUUUAAGUCUGUCGUGAAAUCCCCGGGCUCAACCUGGGAAUGGCGAUGGAUACUGGACAGCUAGAGUGUGUCAGAGGAUGGUGGAAUUCCCGGUGUAGCGGUGAAAUGCGUAGAGAUCGGGAGGAACAUCAGUGGCGAAGGCGGCCAUCUGGGACAACACUGACGCUGAAGCACGAAAGCGUGGGGAGCAAACAGG
rnacentral:rRNA from 1 species